rnacentral:rRNA from 1 species
GUGCCAGCAGCCGCGGUAAUACCGGCAGCCCGAGUGAUGGCCGAUAUUAUUGGGCCUAAAGCGUCCGUAGCUGGCUACGCAAGUCCGUCGGGAAAUCCGCCCGCUCAACGGGCGGUCGUCCGGCGGAAACUGCACAGCUUGGGACCGGAAGGCUCGAAGGGUACGUUCGGGGUAGGAGUGAAAUCCUAUAAUCCCGCACGGACCACCGAUGGCGAAAGCACUUCGAGAAAACGGAUCCGACAGUGAGGGACGAAAGCCAGGGUCUCCAACCGGAUUAGAAACCCGGGUAGUCC